CCUACGGGAGGCAGCAGUGAGGAAUAUUGGUCAAUGGACGCUAGUCUGAACCAGCCAUGCCGCGUGCAGGAAGACUGCCCUAUGAGUUGUAAACUUCUUUUGUACGAGGGUAAACUCAGAUACGCGUAUCUGUCUGAAUGUAUCUUACGAAUAAGGAUCGGCUAACUCCGUGCCAGCAGCCGCGGUAAUACGGAGGAUUCAAGCGUUAUCCGGAUUUAUUGGGUUUAAAGGGUGCGUAGGCGGUCGGAUAAGUUAGUGGUGAAAUCACGAGGCUCAACUUCGGAAUUGCCUUUGAUACUGGUCGGCUAGAGAGUAGUUGAGGUAGGCGGAAUGUAUGGUGUAGCGGUGAAAUGCUUAGAGAUCAUACAGAACACCGAUUGCGAAGGCUGCUUACCAGGCUACUUCUGACGUUGAGGCACGAAAGCGUGGGGAGCAAACAGGAUUAGAUACCCCUGUAGUC
rnacentral:rRNA from 1 species